GCCUGAACUCCAGUAGGGCCCAAGCCAGCCAGGAAGGAGGAGGCAGCCAGAGUGGCCACCACUGGUCUCUGCAGCAGAAGACCCCCUGCUGCCAGGCUGCCAUUUCUAUAUAGAUCCAGUGAGAUCUAGCCGUGGACACUUUGAAUUGCUAAUCUACAGCAGCUGCCCUUUUACAGAGCUCAGUGAGGAUGGCUACUUACCUAGAGGGAAAGCUCAGGCUGACUAUCCUGAACCCAGACAAUUACUUGGAAUGGAAAACUAGACUGAGGAUUACAUUGCGAUCAGGACUACAGAAAGUCACUGAAGAAGACCACCCCCCACAACAGAUGGAACCACAGCUGCUGAGAAAACUGCAAAAGAGACGUGGCUACUCAAAGAUGCUCAAGCUCAAGCUCUAAUUGCUGCUUCUAAUUUGCCAUGAUUAAAGAAGUGAAGACUGGAAAGAGACGGCUUGGACUAAAGGCAGUCAUGCUUUCAAAGUUGAAGAAAGGGAACAAUACAAGAGCCAACUGCACACCUACAAAAAUAGCCCCAUGACAAACUGUCCUUGAAAUAUUUCACCUACUGUUUAUUCUGGGGAGGGGAAAUAUGAAAAGACAAUUAAUUUGCCAUGAAUGCUUUCAGCAUCCAAAGAUAUUAUUUUGUUGGCACAUUUAAAAAAUACACAUGAACACAAAGGUCACAUGAACAUUAAUGUAAGGGAACAUUAAUUUGUGUGCAAUUAAACCAAAGUAGACUCAAACUAUUCACACAAAAAUACAAAGGAAUGCAGAAUAAAUGAAAAUUCAGCACUUUUUGGGUGGGUGAUGAAUGCUUUGAUUCUGAUCUUGGCAGCUGUUUAAAUCUGUGGUUGAUUUUAAUAUCUCUGUUGUCAUAGGUUUUUCCCAGCAUGUUCCCUCCCUUAUAUCCUAACUGUUGUUGUGACUACUGCUCCUGGGUUAGCUAAAAAGCGUGGUAGGGUUUGAUGGCAUCAGUAUAUCUAUGAUGCCAUAAUCCAGACUUCUAGAUGAUCUCUUCUAGAAGUUUGAAUAUAGAUUCUAUAUCAAAGUGGUGACUGGACUAAACCCUGCAGAACAGUUCCCAGGGAAAGGAGACAUACCUUUUAACACACCAAUUCUCUUCUUAUUACUCAAAGACUACAUCCAUUCCAAAGCCAUCUAUUCCUUUCCCCUGCUGGAGCUCGUUGCUGGCAAAAACCUUGGGGGCAGCAGUGUACCUCCCUGCCUCCCCUUCCCCCUCCGCAGUUGGAAGUGGCCAGAAGUACCGGGUGCACAUGCGCACAUUGCAUGCGCAUGCGCCCAUCUGACGUGCACGCGCACCUGGUACUUCUGGCCACUUCCUGCC